GUCGAACGAAGGCUUCGGCCUUAGUGGCGCACGGGUGCGUAACGCGUGGGAAUCUGCCCCUUGGUUCGGAAUAACAGUUAGAAAUGACUGCUAAUACCGGAUGAUGACGUAAGUCCAAAGAUUUAUCGCCGAGGGAUGAGCCCGCGUAGGAUUAGCUAGUUGGUGUGGUAAGAGCGCACCAAGGCGACGAUCCUUAGCUGGUCUGAGAGGAUGAUCAGCCACACUGGGACUGAGACACGGCCCAGACUCC
rnacentral:rRNA from 1 species